rnacentral:lncRNA from 1 species
GGCACCUAUCCACAGCCUGAACCUUGGAGAACACCUCCCUUUCAUAUGACUUCUGCAAAGGGCGUGUUUCAGCUCACAGGGACAAAGAGUCACUGCACCAGAGAACCAGAAAGAGUUACAGACACGGCUCACAGGCUUAAGCGUCUUGCUGUAGGUCAUACGGCAGGUUAAUGACAACACUGGGGCAAGAACACAGGUUACGCUCGUCCUGGGGAAGGCUCCCACACCAAGCUACACACUUCUGCAAUGCUGUUCCAGAUGUGAAAAUCCGCUAAGACAAAUAGGUCACAAAAACACCAUGGGAAACGAUGAUGUCUUUUCCUUUUUGUUAUCUUGAUAAAGCUUCAUACAUGAACACUUCACUCUGUCUCGAUUACUACAUGGUGAAUUGAAGUUCCAGUAGAGAGGGAGUUGAGCUGAUACUGAGGAGAUAAAUACCCAUCACUGUAUACAUCUACUUCUUGGAAUUUGCAAGGGAACCAGUCAACAGAUUUUUCAAGCCUUAUAAGUUUAUCUGCCUGAGAAGUUCACCAGCUACAUAACAUCCUGGACUCUGGAGCCCAAGAGAUGUGUAGUUUCCAUUUUGGAGCCAUUUUCUUUGAUAAAUAAGUAGUGAGGCUGCCAUUCUUGUCAAAGUUGAGGACCACAACCUUACUCAUGAAACUGAAAGAUUGUUUGUUAUGAGGAGUUCUGUUUGAGCCAUACAAGCAAUAUAUCCUUUUUAAAGAAAUGUAUCCGGAAUCUUAGGUGUUCAUUGCUCCAAGCCAUGUGCAGAAUAAAAAGAAAACAAAAAACAAAAAA